ACGGGGUGCAGCAGGCGCGAAAACUCCGCAAUGUCCGAAAGGAUGACGGGGGAGCCCUAAGUGAUCCGUUACAAACGGGUCUUUUGUGCGACCUAAAAAGUCAUACGAAUAAGGGCUGGGUAAGACCGGUGCCAGCCUCCGCGGUAACACCGGCAGCUCAAGUUGUAUCCACGUUUAUUGGGUUUAAAGCGUCCGUAGUCGGUGGUGCAAGUUCCCUGUAAAAUUCUCCGACUCAAUCGGGGACGCGCAGAGAAUACUACACCGCUAGGGGUCGGGAGAGGUAUGAGGUAUUCCCUGGGUAGCGGUGAAAUGCUAUAAUCCUGGGAGGACCACCAGUAGCGUAGGCGUCAUACUAGAACGAGCCCGACGAUGAGGAACGAGAGCUAGGGGAGCGAACCGGAUUAGAUACCCGGGUAGUCCUAGCCGUAAACGAUGCAGACUGAGUGUAUCCAUGCCCUCGUGGCAUGGAUGUGCUGAAGGGAAACCGUUAAGUCUGCCAUCUGGGAAGUACGGUCGCAAGGCUGAAACUUAAAGGAAUUGGCGGGGGAGCACCACAAGGGGUGGAUGCUGCGGUUCAAUUGAAUACAACGCCGGGCAACUCACCAAGGGCGACAGCAGAAUGAAGGCCAGUCUAAAGGGCUUGCCGAACAAGCUGAGAGGUAGUGCAUGGCCGUCGUCAGCUCGUACUGUGAAGCGUACGGUUAAGUCCGUUAACGAGCGAGACCCGUACCCUUAUUUGCCAGCUCCAAGGAGACU
rnacentral:rRNA from 1 species